rnacentral:rRNA from 1 species
UACAGAGACUGCAAGCGUUAUUCGGAUUCACUGGGCGUAAAGGGUGCGCAGGCGGUUGUGUGUGUCAGGUGUGAAAGCCCGGGGCUUAACCCCGGAAUUGCGCCUGAAACUACAUGACUAGAGCAUUGGAGAGGGUAGCGGAAUUCACGGUGUAGCAGUGAAAUGCGUAGAUAUCGUGAGGAACACCAGAGGCGAAGGCGGCUACCUGGACAAUUGCUGACGCUCAGGCACGAAAAGCGUGGGGAGCAAAAAGGG